AUUGAACGCUGGCGGCAUGCUUUACACAUGCAAGUCGAACGGUAACAGGCCGCAAGGUGCUGACGAGUGGCGAACGGGUGAGUAAUGCAUCGGAACGUGCCCAGUCGCGGGGGAUAACGCAGCGAAAGAGCAGCUAAUACCGCAGACGACCUGAGGGCGAAAGGGGGGGAUCGCAAGACCUCCCGCUAUCGGAGCGGCCGAUGUCGGAUUAGCUAGUUGGUGGGGUAAAGGCCCACCAAGGCAACGAGCCGUAGCUGGUCUGAGAGGACGACCAGCCACACUGGGACUGAGACACGGCCCAGACUCCUACGGGAGGCAGCAGUGGGGAAUUUUGGACAAUGGGCGAAAGCCUGAUCCAGCCAUGCCGCGUGUCUGAAGAAGGCCUUCGGGUUGUAAAGGACUUUUGUCGGGGAGGAAAUCCCCAGCGCUAAUACCGCUGGGGGAUGACAGUACCUGAAGAAUAAGCACCGGCUAACUACGUGCCAGCCGCCGCCGUAAUAC
rnacentral:rRNA from 1 species